AGAAUGGUAAGCUAAGUGUAAGCUAUCAGGUUCAUACCCUGCCUAUGGGCCCAGCCCCCAUUCUA
rnacentral:tRNA from 1 species